AUAUCGGGAGGAGGAAAAUUUGGCAUCCUUAUCUGGGAUUCAGUUACGGACUGGAUGCUUUUGCAAUCCUGGUGCUUGUACAAAAUAUCUUGGCUUGUCUCACUCAGAUCUUCUUUCUAACUUAGAGGCUGGGCAUGUUUGCUGGGAUGACAAUGAUGUAAUAAAUGGAAAACCAACUGGAGCAGUUACAAUAUCUUUUGGUUACAUGUCUACUUAUGAAGAUGCUAAGGUAGUUAU